ACGGGGAGGGGGGGCGCGGGAUGGCGGCGGCGGGGUUCUUUGUAAGCGCUCCCCCUUCUGCUGCCCCGCCCCGGGAGCCCCCGCAGGGCAGCAGGUUGGCUUAGUAUCCGCCCCCCUUCCCCAAAUUUGCUCCCUGCAAGUUUGAGUUCCCUUCCUCGGGCCCGGUUCGCUGGUGUGUCUCUUUCUGGAAUGUACUUUCACCACCGCAAAGGGUUAGCCAUGGAAAAUUUUGUUGUGCACAUCGAGUGGGCAAAGAAACUAUGUAAGAGAGGCACAAGGAUAACCUGAGGGGCUUCCACAGCCACCGCCUUCGGCCUCCCUCGCCUCUGAGGAUUGUAUUUGUGCCCUCGGGCUGGGAACGGUAGGCAGGGACACCCUGGGAAGCUAACCUACAGACUCAGACGCCAGACCGUUUAGGUUGGAGGCCUGGCUUUACGACCGCACAGGCUGCUCAAAGCGCACCAGCAGGCGGGGCAUCCUCUGGUAUUUUCCUAAUAGUCAUCGCCAGGGUUUAGCCAUAGGCUUCCUUUACUGCUUCUCUAGCUCUUACUGUUGGGUAGCAUUACCCUGUUUUCUUUCUUCUAGUUCUCUUACCUCCCUUUCUUUGAGUUUCAAGGGUAAAGCCCCGGGACACCUAGCUCUUACACCCUAAGCUUGGAGGGCAGACAAGACACCUCUUCCUCUGAAACCCUUAAAAGGGUUAGGGUAGGGGCUCCUGUGUGGCUCAGUCCCUUAAGCCACUGACUCCUGAUUUCUGCUCAGGCCAUGAUCUCACAGUUGGUGGGAUCAAGUCCCUGUGGGUACGACUGUGCACUGACAAUACAGAGCCUGUUCAGGAUUCUCUCUCUCUCUACUCCUCCCCUGCUCUCGCUCGCUCUCUCUCUCAAAAUCAAUACACAUUAAAAAACAAAGGGUUAGAGCAGGUGCUGGUAUGUCUUUGUUUUCAUGGAGGUUGGUUGUGGCUCCUGCCUGAUUUUUUUUUUUUUUUUACUUUUUCUAGAAAGUGGUGAGAAUAUCUGCAGCGAGUGAAGAAGAUUUGAAAUCGCUGCUGUAGAGCAGGAGAGAGUGCACACAGAGGAUCCACUUACUGUGGAUUAUGAAUUGUUACUGUCAUGUUUGGAAAAUCCCGUCUUGUCUUUAACAGUACUUGGUAAACUGAGUGUAGGCUCAGGAAUCCAAGCAAUCCAUUGAUCCUGAUGAAAACUCUAUUCCUCUCCUCACCCAAUCUAUGAGGGGUGCUUGAUAACAAUUGUGGAAGAAACUGUAUUACUCAGCAUGGUUACAUGGAAAAAAUCCAUGGUCUGACACAGAAGUACUGCAAAGGAUGGCAUCUAUUGCCAGAUUUCUGGGGGUGCUAAGCUGAUGACUGACUUCUACAGAUAAUGAGGUUACGGAGCCUGAGUCCUCUGCUUAGCACAGAGGAAAUGGACUCCCUUGGGAGCCUGAUGGGAAUCACCAUUUCUUCCAUUAGACUUGUAUUUGCUCAAAGAGACCCAUCAGGAUGUACCAGAUAAAACGCUUUCAAACUAAGGGAACAGAAAACCCAAUUCAGUUCUUAAAAACAAGAAAUCCAAUCUAAACAUAAUUGAAAAACACUACCAUAGAGUGAUGAUUAAUUGUAGAUCAGUCACAGCUUCAAAUCUAGUUCUCUACAGAUCUCUCAGUUGUUCCCCCCUACAAGUGUCAGCCUCAUUCCCAAGCUAGGCACAAGGUGGCUACAGCAGUUUCAGGCCUCAUAUCUGUGCAUACCGUCAAGAGAAAAAAAGGGACCAUCUUAUAAUUUAGGACAUCUAUUUCCCAGAAGCCACCCAGAAUCUACUUGCCUUCCACUGGGUUACAUGGCCAUUUCAGAACCAAAUUCUAUAGCUAGGAAAGUACCAUGCAUUGGUAGGCUUUAGCCUGAAUUCCUUCACCCAUCAGUGAUCAGAGAGCUGAUAAUUACCUUUUGACAAAUUAGGCCCACUUCUUGAGCUUCCCUAGAAACAUGGAUGGUAUAUCUGUUUUAAAAAUCUCAGCACUGCCAGAAUUAGUCAAUCACAAUGCUACCAGAGGAAGCAUAUGAAAGAAUCACCAGCCUUGAGCAAUGCUAAGGGAGUCAAAAGCAUUUGGAAGCAAGACUACAUGGGAUCUUUGCAGGUGUAAUCAAGAUGAGAUCAUACUAGAGAAGCAUGGGUCCUUAAUCCAAUAUGACUGGUAUCCUUAUAAGAAGGGGACAUAAGGCACACAGGGAGAACACCAUCCAAUGAUGGAAGUGAGAUUGGAAUUAUGCUGCCAGAAGCCAAGGAA